rnacentral:rRNA from 1 species
UGGGGAAUUUUGGACAAUGGGCGAAAGCCUGAUCCAGCAAUGCCGCGUGUGUGAAGAAGGCCUUCGGGUUGUAAAGCACUUUUGUCCGGAAAGAAAUCCUUGGCUCUAAUACAGUCGGGGGAUGACGGUACCGGAAGAAUAAGCACCGGCUAACUACGUGCCAGCAGCCGCGGUAAUACGUAGGGUGCAAGCGUUAAUCGGAAUUACUGGGCGUAAAGCGUGCGCAGGCGGUUUGCUAAGACCGAUGUGAAAUCCCCGGGCUCAACCUGGGAACUGCAUUGGUGGCUGGCAGGCUAGAGUAUGGCAGAGGGGGGUAGAAUUCCACGUGUAGCAGUGAAAUGCGUAGAGAUGUGGAGGAAUACCGAUGGCGAAGGCAGCCCCUGGGCCAAUACUGACGCUCAUGCAUGAAAGCGUGGGGAGCAAACAGGAUUAGAUACCCUGGUAGUCCACGCCCUAAACGAUGUCAACUAGUUGUUGGGGAUUCAUUUCCUUAGUAACGUAGCUAACGCGUGAAGUUGACCGCCUGGGGAGUACGGUCGCAAGAUUAAAAACUU